rnacentral:rRNA from 1 species
CCUACGGGAGGCAGCAGUGGGGAAUAUUGGGCAAUGGGCGCAAGCCUGACCCAGCAACGCCGCGUGAAGGAAGAAGGCUUUCGGGUUGUAAACUUCUUUUGUCAGGGAAGAGUAGAAGACGGUACCUGCCGAAUAAGCCACGGCUAACUACGUGCCAUCAGCCGCGGCAAUACGUAGGUGGCAAGCGUUGUACGGAUUUACUGGGUGUAAAGGGCGUGUAGCCGGGUUGACAAGUCAGAUGUGAAAUACUGCGGCUUAACCGCAGAACUGCAUUUGAAACUGUUGAUCUUGAGUAUUGGAGAGGCAGACGGAAUUCCUAGUGUAGCGGUGAAAUGCGUAGAUAUUAGGAGGAACACCGGUGGCGAAGGCGGUCUGCUGGACAGCAACUGACGGUGAGGCGCGAAAGCGUGGGGAGCAAACAGGAUUAGAUACCCCUGUAGUC